CUACAUUUAAUCAAAAUGGGCACACUUUUAUUGUAGUUAUUAGCGAGCAUGCGCGUCUAGAUAUUGUUAUGACUUUAAUUAUGACAUAAAAGAAGAACUGUUGAAGCGAAAUCCGAUUCGCGUGAAAAAGCUGGAUUUCUAGCAGCUCGCGCUCACAGCCAUUUAAUCACCUGACCUGUAGCGCAAUGUCACGCGACCUCAGAGCGUUUGAAUCAGGUGCGUUUGAAGUUGAUAAGGAGGCAGGCGCUGGCGGUGUCAACAUUACAGAAUUUUAAUUGACUUUAGGAGAUGAGUUGGAGUAUACAGAGGAACCACCAAAUGCUAUCAAGAACUCAUCAGCCCAGACGCUUUGUCCAUGCGUGGGAGCUACAUCUGUUCCUGAGGUCAUAGAGGUCAGCAGUGACACCAGAUUUAACUGUUAUUUACUCUGAGUCCCCGACAAGACACAUACAGCCUGCGCCCACUCUACUGAUGCCCCACCGCGGCCCAGGCUGAGCACCUUGCUCUGAAUGGGAAAUGAGGGCUUCGACAGAUACAUGCACCUCUGGAACCUGUUGGGUGUUCAGACACAUGUCUUGCCCAUCUCAUUUUGAACAGGUUAAAAGACCAUGUCAAGCGCAAUUAUACUGUGCCAGCAUCUUCAACAAGACCUUGCAGGAGACGUUGUUUAUUAUGUUCUGAUUUACUCUGGUGUGAUUACAACGUGAGUGCGGAUGGGAAUCAUGAGGAAAUGAAUGUUUCUGGA
ensembl:lncRNA